AUGAUCAUACUUUAUAGGAUCACUUCUAUAGUGCGAUUGCCGGGUUUCUCGCCAAGAUUCUCGGAAUAUGUUCAACCACGAUGAGGACUGUUAGUGUAAUCCUCUGAGCGGGAAGCGGCUCUCAAGUUGUGCUUGAGAGUUUUGAUGACCGUUCUUACUCGUUUACCGAUGUUAGGAGGAGGAUUGCACAGGCUGAGUGGU
rnacentral:snoRNA from 1 species